rnacentral:rRNA from 1 species
UAGCCCAGAGAAAUUUGGAUUAAUACCUCAUAGUAUAUAGACUCGGCAUCGAGAUUAUAUUAAAGUCACAACGGUAAAAGAUGAGCAUGCGUCCCAUUAGCUAGUUGGUAAGGUAACGGCUUACCAAGGCUACGAUGGGUAGGGGUCCUGAGAGGGAGAUCCCCCACACUGGUACUGAGACACGGACCAGACUCCUACGGGAGGCAGCAGUGAGGAAUAUUGGACAAUGGGCGCAAGCCUGAUCCAGCCAUGCCGCGUGCAGGAUGACGGUCCUAUGGAUUGUAAACUGCUUUUGUACAGGAAGAAACACUGGUUCGUGAACCAGCUUGACGGUACUGUAAGAAUAAGGAUCGGCUAACUCCGUGCCAGCAGCCGCGGUAAUACGGAGGAUCCAAGCGUUAUCCGGAAUCAUUGGGUUUAAAGGGUCCGUAGGCGGUUUAAUAAGUCAGUGGUGAAAGCCCAUCGCUCAACGGUGGAACGGCCAUUGAUACUGUUAAACUUGAAUUAUUAGGAAGUAACUAGAAUAUGUAGUGUAGCGGUGAAAUGCUUAGAGAUUACAUGGAAUACCAAUUGCGAAGGCAGGUUACUACUAAUUGAUUGACGCUGAUGGACGAAAGCGUGGGUAGCGAACAGGAUUAGAUACCCUGGUAGUCCACGCCGUAAACGAUGGAUACUAGCUGUUGGGAGCAAUCUCAGUGGCUAAGCGAAAGUGAUAAGUAUCCCACCUGGGGAGUACGUUCGCAG